AGAGUUUGAUCCUGGCUCAGGACGAACGCUGGCGGCGUGCCUAAUACAUGCAAGUCGAGCGGACAGAUGGGAGCUUGCUCCCUGAUGUUAGCGGCGGACGGGUGAGUAACACGUGGGUAACCUGCCUGUAAGACUGGGAUAACUCCGGGAAACCGGGGCUAAUACCGGAUGCUUGUUUGAACCGCAUGGUUCAAACAUAAAAGGUGGCUUCGGCUACCACUUACAGAUGGACCCGCGGCGCAUUAGCUAGUUGGUGAGGUAAUGGCUCACCAAGGCAACGAUGCGUAGCCGACCUGAGAGGGUGAUCGGCCACACUGGGACUGAGACACGGCCCAGACUCCUACGGGAGGCAGCAGUAGGGAAUCUUCCGCAAUGGACGAAAGUCUGACGGAGCAACGCCGCGUGAGUGAUGAAGGUUUUCGGAUCGUAAAGCUCUGUUGUUAGGGAAGAACAAGUACCGUUCGAAUAGGGCGGUACCUUGACGGUACCUAACCAGAAAAGCCACGGCUAACUACGUGCCAGCAGCCGCGGGUAAAUACGUAGGUGGCAAGCGUUGUCCGGAAUUAUUGGGCGUAAAGGGCUCGCAGGCGGUUUCUUAAGUCUGAUGUGAAAGCCCCCGGCUCAACCGGGGAGGGUCAUUGGAAACUGGGGAACUUGAGUGCAGAAGAGGAGAGUGGAAAUUCCACGUGUAGCGGUGAAAUGCGUAGAGAUGUGGAGGAACACCCAUGGCGAAGGCGACUUCUUCUGGGUCUG
rnacentral:rRNA from 1 species